GCUGACGUCCCGGAGUCCCCGCUUCCUGGUCCUUCCGGUCCGCGGAGGCUGGCGGGAGGGCCUGGGACCCACUUUAGUUUUCAGUUUUGUCACGAGCCGGAAGGCGACAGCACAUGCGAGCACAAGAAACCCUUUUUGUAAAUCUUCCAGCGGAAACGCGAGGGGCUGCCGGACCGCCUCGGAGACGCCAGGCGGGAACCCAGAGCACCCCCGCCGCGUCCUGCAUUGCAGCAGCCGGGACCCCGCCCACACCGCGCGGGGCACGAGGCUACAGGAGCUACCUUACUCAUCCAUUUGGAGUGGCUUCUGGAAGGCUGGAAUUGAAAUCCACCAGUGCCCAUUUCAAGGUGUUCCCAACAUCGCCUGGAAAAAAGGAGCCCAGAUACGCUUCCCUGUGGAUGCAGAAGAACUUCAGCGAGAGAGGAGCUAUCCCUGCUGCCUUGUGGCUGCAGAAGGAGAGAGAAGGAGCCUCUCCUAAAAAGGGUUUCGUGAAAGCCCUGAGGCGAGAUACCCACUUCAGAGGGUUCAGGACAAGGACACUCACUUUGUUCUGUGCGGUGUGGAGACACGGGCGAGCGUUCCUCAGUGGUGCCAACUGGUUCUCUCUCGUCCUCAGCUGCCAGUGCUCUGGGGCAUGUCAUUUGGACAGAACACUUUUCCAUGUGCUGCCAUCCAUUCCACGGAGGCAGGAGAAAAGGAUCUGCAGGCAGGAACAUAAGGCUGAUUCACCCUGACUUCGGAGAACGAAAUCAAAUGGAAACUCUUGGGCUAUGACAGGAAAUAUCCUCUCCAUUUACACAGGGCAUACACCGAGUACAUGACAUUGUAAUUGUACUUCCUCCUUUUCAUUUACAUAGGGUGCACACCAAGUAACCAAAGGACACCUCUAGAGGGGAUUCAAACUCCAGAAACUUCAGUAACGGGCUCCCUGUGCUCAGGCGCUCCCACCCUGUGGAGUGUGCUUUCAUUUUCCGUCAAUCUCUGCUUUGCUGCUUCAUUCUUUCCUUGCUCCAUUUUUGCGUUGUGUCCGAGUCUUGGUUCAAGGCACCAAGAACCUGGAAACCUUCAACCAGUAACAUUAUCUUAAUAUCUUGUUUUAAAACUGAAUUCUGUUUUUCAUCUGUUCACCUAGUUUUUAGAAAAUUACAGUGAAAUGCAGCUUGGAACUUACCACAGCUUAAUACGAGGGUCACUAUGAGCUAUACGACAGGUUUGAUGUUUAAAAGUUUGCAACAUUUUUUAUUGCUCUUUCAUUUACAAACUACAGUAAAUAUUUAUUUUUUAUGUUUAAUUUUGAAAUAUAUGACACGUAAGAGUCUAUAAAUUUGGCUGGGCACGGUGGCUCAUGCCUGUAACCCCAACACUUUCGGAGGCUGAGGCAGGUGGAUCAUUUGAGGUCAAGUGUUCAAGACCAGCCUGGCCAACAUGGUGAAACCCGUCUCUACUAAAAAAAUACAAAAAGUUGGCUGAGCAUCAUGGCAGGCACCUGUGAUCCCAGCUACUCAGGAGGCUGAGGUGGGAGAAUUGUUUGAACCCAGGAAAGAGGAGUUGCAGUGAGCUGAGAUCAUACCAUUACACUCUAGCCUGGGCAACAUGAGCAAAACUCUGCCUCAAAAACCAACCAACAAACAAACUGAAUGCAGAAUACCAAAGAUUAAUAAUUGCACUGAUGCCAUCAUCCAUUAGCAUCAACUGUCUUGAAAGGCUACAAUAUGCCCUUCCUUGAUCACCUGGGUCUCCCUUCUUCACCCAGAGAUAGGACUAAUGUGUUAAUGUUUGUCUUGCUUUUCAUAAGGUUUAUCAUUUCUCUGUAUAUUAUGAAGCCAUGUCAUAUGUUAUAGUUUGUGAACUGUAUAUGGAAUAGCAGUGUAUUUUCAGUAAUUUCCUUUGUUCACUGUAAUUUUUCAUUGUUGAUGCUUCUAACUGCAGUUCAUUUUCACAGCUGUAUCAUAUUCCACAAUGUGACUAUGCCAGCUUUUUUCCUUGAUAGAGGUGUGUU
ensembl:lncRNA